CCUACGGGAGGCAGCAGUGGGGAAUCUUGCGCAAUGGGGGCAACCCUGACGCAGCCAUGCCGCGUGAAUGAUGAAGGCCUUAGGGUUGUAAAGUUCUUUUGCCCGUGACGAUGAUGACGGUAACGGGAGAAUAAGCUCCGGCUAACUUCGUGCCAGCAGCCGCGGUAAUACGAAGGGGGCUAGCGUUGUUCGGAAUUACUGGGCGUAAAGCGCGCGCAGGCGGUUCGAUAAGUUAGGGGUGAAAUCCCUGGGCUCAACCCAGGAAUGGCCUUUAAGACUGUCGAGCUAGAGGACGAGAGAGGUGAGUGGAAUUCCCAGUGUAGAGGUGAAAUUCGUAGAUAUUGGGAAGAACACCGGUGGCGAAGGCGGCUCACUGGCUCGUUUCUGACGCUGAGGCGCGAAAGCGUGGGGAGCAAACAGGAUUAGAUACCCUGGUAGUCCACGCCCUAAACGAUGAGUGCCAGGUGUCGGGAAGCUUAGCUUCUCGGCGCCGGCAGCUACGACCUUACGCACUCCGCCGUGGGAGGUACGGCCGCGAACGUAAACGUACAAUAGAUAGACGGCGUGAGACGUGCCGACGGACGACGACGAGGGAGUAGG
rnacentral:rRNA from 1 species